rnacentral:rRNA from 1 species
AUAUUGCGCAAUGGGCGAAAGCCUGACGCAGCCACGCCGCGUGGGUGAUGAAGGCCUUCGGGUUGUAAAGCCCUGUCGGGAGGGAAGAAGUUCUGACGGUACCUCCCAAGAAAGCACCGGCUAACUCCGUGCCAGCAGCCGCGGUAAUACGGAGGGUGCGAGCGUUGCUCGGAAUCACUGGGCGUAAAGCGUACGCAGGCUGUCUCGUAAGUCGGGUGUGAAAGCCCGGGGCUCAACCCCGGAAUUGCGCCCGAGACUGCGGGGCUUGAAUGCGGGAGAGGGAAGCGGAAUUCCUGGUGUAGAGGUGAAAUUCGUAGAUAUCAGGAGGAACACCGGUGGCGAAAGCGGCUUCCUGGCCCGACAUUGACGCUCAUGUACGAGAGCGUGGGGAGCAAACAGG